GAGAGUUUGAUUCUGGCUCAGGAUGAACGCUGGCGGCGUGCUUAACACAUGCAAGUUGAACGAAGCUUAUAGCACCUAUUCCUUCGGGGAGAAGUGUUAUAAGGCUUAGUGGCGAACGGGUGAGUAACACGUGAGCAACCAACCCCUUACAGUGGAAUAACAACGGGAAACCGUUGCUAAUACCGCAUAAUAUCGCUAUAUGGCAUCAUAUGGAGAUCAAAGAUUUAUCGGUGAGGGACGGGCUCGCGUCCGAUUAGGUAGUAGGUAAGGUAACGGCUUACCUAGCCGACGAUCGGUAGCCGGACUGAGAGGUCGAUCGGCCACAUUGGGACUGAGACACGGCCCAGACUCCUACGGGAGGCAGCCAGUGGGGAAUAUUGGGCAAUGGGGGCAACCCUGACCCAGCGACGCCGCGUGAAGACGAAGGCAUUCCGUUGUAAAUUCUUUGGAGAGGGACGAAUAAUGACGGUACUCUCGAAC
rnacentral:rRNA from 1 species